rnacentral:rRNA from 1 species
CCUACGGGGGGCAGCAGUGGGGAAUAUUGGACAAUGGGGGGAACCCUGAUCCAGCCAUGCCGCGUGUGUGGAGAAGGCCCUCGGGUUGUAAAGCACUUUCAGUGAGGAAGAACGCCUGGUGGUUAAUACCCAUCAGGAAAGACAUCACUCACAGAAGAAGCACCGGCUAACUCCGUGCCAGCAGCCGCGGUAAUACGGAGGGUGCGAGCGUUAAUCGGAAUUACUGGGCGUAGAGCGCGCGUAGGUGGCUUGAUAAGCCGGUUGUGAAAGCCCCGGGCUCAACCUGGGAACGGCAUCCGGAACUGUCAAGCUAGAGUGCAGGAGAGGAAGGUAGAAUUCCCGGUGUAGCGGUGAAAUGCGUAGAGAUCGGGAGGAAUACCAGUGGCGAAGGCGGCCUUCUGGACUGACACUGACACUGAGGUGCGAAAGCGUGGGUAGCAAACAGGAUUAGAUACCCUUGUAGUC